GCCCGGUGGACGAGUCUGACGGAGCACGCCGCGUGAGUGAUGAAGGUUUUCGGAUCGUAAAGCUCUGUUGUUAGGGAAGAACAAGUGCAAGAGUAACUGCUUGCACCUUGACGGUACCUAACCAGAAAGCCACGGCUAACUACGUGCCAGCAGCCGCGGUAAUACGUAGGUGGCAAGCGUUGUCCGGAAUUAUUGGGCGUAAAGGGCUCGCAGGCGGUUUCUUAAGUCUGAUGUGAAAGCCCCCGGCUCAACCGGGGAGGGUCAUUGGAAACUGGGAAACUUGAGUGCAGAAGAGGAGAGUGGAAUUCCACGUGUAGCGGUGAAAUGCGUAGAGAUGUGGAGGAACACCAGUGGCGAAGGCGACUCUCUGGUCUGUAACUGACGCUGAGGAGCGAAAGCGUGGGGAGCGAACAGGAUUAGAUACCCCCGGUAGUCCGGA
rnacentral:rRNA from 1 species